rnacentral:rRNA from 1 species
GAUGAACGCUAGCGGCAGGCUUAAUACAUGCAAGUCGAGGGGCAGCACAGGUAGCAAUACUGGGUGGCGACCGGCAAACGGGUGCGGAACACGUACGCAACCUUCCUUUAAGUGGGGGAUAGCCCAGGGAAACUUGGAUUAAUACCCCUUAACAUUAUGAGAUGGCAUCAUUUUAUAAUUAAAGCUCCCGCGCUUAAAGAUGGGCGUGCGCCUGAUUAGGUAGUUGGCGGGGUAACAGCCCACCAAGCCUACGAUCAGUAACUGGUGUGAGAGCACGACCAGUCACACGGGCACUGAGACACGGGCCCGACUCCUACGGGAGGUAGCAGUAAGGAAUAUUGGUCAAUGGACGCAAGUCUGAACCAGCCAUGCCGCGUGGAGGAUGACGGCCCUCUGGGUUGUAAACUCCUUUUAUCUGGGAAGAAAUGCAGAUUUUCUAAUCUGUUUGACGGUACCAGAGGAAUAAGCACCGGCUAACUCCGUGCCAGCCGCCGCAGUAA